AUGGACAGGGAGGCCUGGUGUGCUGCAAUUUAUGGGGUCGCAAAGAGUCGGACACGACUGAGCGACUGAACUGAACUGAAUAAUACCUUACUACAGGAGGAGUAUUCGUAGAUCUAAUUUGUCUCCUUUAAGCUCCUUGAAGCCCAAACAAAAAGGACUGAUUUAACUCAACAGUCUUGGCAAGCUGGGACAAUUUCAGAUGUAUGGUAGGAACUUCAGAGUUUUUGUUGGAAUUAAUAAGUUAAUACACCAUCUGGGUUUUCCUAUCACAAUACCACUUCUAUCUAUAAAGUAAACCACAAAACAAUGUGUAGAUUGGCAGCCUGUAUAAUAUUUAUGGUAAACAUAUUAAGAAUUAUUUUGCAUAUCUUUCAUGUCACUCAGUACUGAUCUCUUUGGUUUGAAUAGAAGUGCGCUGGCCAAGGACCCAUGUCAUUCAAGGACAUGACUGUGGACUUCACCCGGAAUGAGUGGUGACAACUGACAGGACUCUAUACUGGGAUGUGAUGCUGGAGAGCUAUAGCCACCUGGUCUCUGUGGGGUACUGCAUUGCCAGACCAGAGGUGAUCAUCAAGCAGGAGCAAGGAGAAGAGCUGUGGCCACUAAAACUCCCAGGCUGGAGUGGUUCCAACAAAGGCCGCUCAGUCGUGUCCAGCUGUUUGCAACCCCGCUG